CGGGAACUCAAAGGAGACUGCCGGUGAUAAACCGGAGGAAGGUGGGGAUGACGUCAAGUCAUCAUGGCCCUUACGAGUAGGGCUACACACGUGCUACAAUGGCGUAUACAAAGAGAAGCGACCUCGCGAGAGCAAGCGGAACUCAUAAAGUACGUCGUAGUCCGGAUUGGAGUCUGCAACUCGACUCCAUGAAGUCGGAAUCGCUAGUAAUCGUAGAUCAGAAUGCUACGGUGAAUACGUUCCCGGGUCUUGUACACACCG
rnacentral:rRNA from 1 species